CGCGUAGGCGGCCUUGUAAGUCAGAUGUGAAAGCCCCGGGCUUAACCUGGGAAUUGCGUUCGAUACUGCGAAACUAGAGUACGGUAGAGGGAAGUGGAAUUCCGGGUGUAGCGGUGAAAUGCGUAGAUAUCCGGAGGAACACCAGUGGCGAAGGCGACUUCCUGGGCCAGUACUGACGCUGAGGUGCGAAAGCGUGGGGAGCAAACA
rnacentral:rRNA from 1 species